rnacentral:snRNA from 1 species
AUCGCUUCUCGGCCAUUUUUGGCUAAGAUCAUGUGUAGUAUCUGUUCUUGUCAGCUUAAUAUCUGGCAUGCGAGUCACUGACUCGCUCCUAUAUUAAACUGAUUUUUGUUCAGAAAAAGUGGUAAAGAAGCUUGCUUCAACCACUUUGAAGAUCUUCUCAGUAUUGCAUUACUUCUGAGUUAGGUCUAACCCCA